UACGUAGGGGGCCAGCGUUGUUCGGAAUUACUGGGUGUAAAGGGUCAGUAGGCGGUGCGGCAAGUCGGGAGUGAAAUCUCUGGGCUUAACCCAGAGGCUGCUUCCGAAACUGCUGUGCUUGAGUGUGGGAGAGGCGCGUGGAAUUGCAGGUGUAGCGGUGAAAUGCGUAGAUAUCUGCAGGAACACCCGUGGCGAAAGCGGCGCGCUGGACCACAACUGACGCUGAAUGACGAAAGCUAGGGGAGCAAACAGG
rnacentral:rRNA from 1 species